CUUGGAGCACCUGCUGAGGUGCUCUCUGCUGGGGGCCGUAAGUGAGCAUCGAAAAAGCUGUAAAAAGUAUCCCUGCUGCUCUCCAGGGACUCACAGCAUGGACGGCACCUGCAUUGAGAGAAGACGGCAAUGGUAUCGUGAUGAUCUACCUCUUUGCUUUAAAAAGGAAGAAAAUCCUCCAUCCAACAACGUAGAUGGCCCUGGAGGAUGUUAUGCCAAGUGCAAGAAGAAACGAGAAGGACAAAUGCUACAUGAUCUCAUUCCUAUGGGCCCUGCAACAGCCACAUCCUUCUUGACUGAAGACAUUGGCCUUGCCUUCUAUCAGGUUUCCCCUCUCCUGGGGUUCCUCUGCCUGCUCUCUCAAGACACAUGGAACAUGUACACGUGCCCAAGAUGGAUCGGCCGCUCAGCCGAGCCUCCCAGUGCUGCCUGCCAGGCUGGAGGGACCCGUCUUCUAGGGACAUUGCACUCCCCUGCUCUUCUGAGCUGACCCAGUCUUGAACCCCCCCUUUUUUUCUGGCUCAUGUGGUGCUGCCUGGUGUCAGAGCCUGGCCUUCUCAUAUCUGCCUUGUCCCUGCACAGCCUGAACGCAGGCCCCCAGAAUAGUCCUGGCUCAGGGCCUGGAAAAAAAAUCACCUAGUCAGAACACCAAAUUACAACUCAGAAGGUUGCUUAGUGAGCAUAAAAUUGGAGCAAAGAGAAGUGGAUAUUCUGAAGGGAUGCUUCCGAUGUGCUGUGGUAGCAAGAUGCAUUGUUCUUUUCGACUCUGGGGCUAUUUCCAGAAAAAGACCUGGGAGGGGACCUCUAAAAUUGGGACAUCCAUCCUCCCAGACAGUGCUGAAGGGCAUGAAUGCACUCCUCCCUCUCCUUCCUUUGUUUAAAAUAUUCCUAUCAUUCUCCAAAGGCCUCCGCAAUUACAGCAUUAUGCAUUACAGGUUUCAAGAUUGCAUUUAAUCUUUUAUUAGUUCCAUCUGCAUCACUUGCUUCCUGAUGAGAUUUUGAGGAGUUGCCUUAAUCUCAUCAGCCCUGUAUUUACAGAUCUUAUCCUCAUAGGAUUGCCUCUGGGAAGAUUUUUGCUGAUGGGCAAAUCUAACCAUUAGAGUCAAGGCCUGGAUUUCAUGCCACUAAUCAUGUCCAUAGCCUGCAUGCGGACAGAUCACCUGCCCCCCUCGGGUUCCCAGGGCCUCCUGCUCCCAAGCUCCUCUGCCUAUUUGCCCACAGGCUUUGCUUCUCUCCCAAUGCAAGUGUGGCUUCCUCAGAGGCAGGUCUCUGAGUCUCCUGGCCAGGAAAGACCCUCUGAUAUGAACCUGUAGCACUGCACACCUCCCUUCAUAGUGCCCAGCCGUCGUUAUUCUUCCCACCUUUAGGGUUUGAGUAGAUGACUGUGUGUAUUCAUUUCCUAGGGCUACUGUGACAAAACAUAGAUUAGGUGGGUCCUACAGUUCUGGAGGCCAGAAGUCCAAGAUGAAGGUGCCCUCAGGGGAGGAUCUGUCCCAUCUCUCUCCCUAAGGCUCCCUUAAGACUCUAGGGAGGAUCUGUCCUGUGCCUCUCUCUGUUGCCCAGGCUGGAGUGCAAUGGCAUGAUCUCGACUCACUGCAGCCUCCGCCUCCUGGGUUCAAGUGAUUCUCCUGCCUUAGCCUCCUGAGUAGCUGUGACUACAGGCGCCCAACACCACGCCUGGCUAAUUUUUGUAUUUUUAGUAGAGGUGGGGUUUCACCAGGUUGGCCAGGCUUGUCUCAAACUCCUGACCUCAAAUCAUCUGCCUGCCUCGGCCUCCCAAAGUGCUAGGAUUACAGGCAUCAGCCACCACGCCUGGCCCUCUCCCAGUUUCUGUUGGCCACAGAGGUCCCUUGGCUUGUUUCCACACUGUGCACUCUAAUCCUCCAUCUUCACAUGGCCGUCUUCUCUCUGCAUUGUCACAUCAUCUUCUCUCUGUGUAUGAUGGUGCCCACGUUUCCCCUUGUUUUAAGGACACCAGACAUAUUGGUUAGGGCCCAAACCCUGAGGCCAUUAGGCCUGAUUUUACCUUGAUUAUCUCUGUUGGGACCUUCUUUCCAAAUAAGAUCACAUUCUGAAGUCCUUGGAGUCAAGACUUCAACACUCCAUGGCAUCCUAACGAAGUCAUUGACUUUCUUUGUUGUUACUUUCAGCAUAUCCCCUGUCUGGCACAAAGGGAGCACAGUUGACCUGUGAACAGUGCAGAGGUUAGGGACUCAGACCUACCUUGCAGUAGAAAAUUUGAGUAUAACUUUUGAUUCCCCCAAAACUUAAGUACCGAUAGCCUCUGUUGACCAGGAACCUUACUGAUAAUUUAAACAGAAGAUAACACAUAUUCUGUAUACUAUAUGUGUUAUACGCUGUAUUUUUACAAUAAGGCAAGCUAAAGAAAAUAAAUUGCUAAUAAAAAAUCGUAAGAAAG
ensembl:lncRNA LINC02145 long intergenic non-protein coding RNA 2145